rnacentral:rRNA from 1 species
GCUUGUCUCAAAGAUUAAGCCAUGCAUGUCUAAGUAUAAACACCUUUAUACUGUGAAACUGCGUACAGCUCAUUAAAUCAGUAAUAAUUUAUUUGAUGGUGACUUACUACAUGGAUAACCGUAGUAACCUAGAGCUAAUACAUGCGUAAAAUCCCGACUCUCGCGGGGAGGGAUGUAUUUAUUAGAUAAAAAACCAAUGCGGGGCAACCCGGUUUUGUGGUGAAUCAUAGUAACUUUUCGGAUCGCAUAGCUUCACGCUGGCGAUAGUUCAUUCAAAUUUCUGCCCUAUCAGCUUUCGACGGUAGUGUAGUGGACUACCGUGGCGUUAACGGGUGACGGAGAAUUAGGGUUCGAUUCCGGAGAGGGAGCCUGAGAAACGGCUACCACAUCCAAGGAAGGCAGCAGG